rnacentral:rRNA from 1 species
CCUACGGGCCCGGGACCCAGGCGCCCGCCGGAGGACCUAAACUCUUGUCUCUUUUGAGUAUCUUCUGAGUGACACAAGUAAAUAAAUUAAAACUUUCAACAACGGAUCUCUUGGUUCUGGCAUCGAUGAAGAACGCAGCGAAAUGCGAUAAGUAAUGUGAAUUGCAGAAUUCAGUGAAUCAUCGAAUCUUUGAACGCACAUUGCGCCCGGCAGUAUUCUGCCGGGCAUGCCUGUCCGAGCGUCAUUUCAACCCUCAAGCCCCCGGGCUUGGUGUUGGGGAUCGGCCCGCCUCACGGUUGGCCGGCCCCGAAAUCUAGUGGCGGUCUCGCUGUAGCCUCCUCUGCGUAGUAGCAACACCUCGCACCGGAACGUAGCGCGGCCACGCCGUUAAACCCCCAACUUCUGAAGGUUGACCUCGGAUCAGGUAGGAAUACCCGCUGAACUUAAGCA